AUGAACGCUGGCGGCGUGCCUCAUACAUGCAAGUCGAGCGAACAGACGAGGAGCUUGCUCCUCUGACGUUAGCGGCGGACGGGUGAGUAACACGUGGAUAACCUACCUAUAAGACUGGGAUAACUUCGGGAAACCGGAGCUAAUACCGGAUAAUAUAUUGAACCGCAUGGUUCAAUAGUGAAAGACGGUUUUGCUGUCACUUAUAGAUGGAUCCGCGCCGCAUUAGCUAGUUGGUAAGGUAACGGCUUACCAAGGCAACGAUGCGUAGCCGACCUGAGAGGGUGAUCGGCCACACUGGAACUGAGACACGGUCCAGACUCCUACGGGAGGCAGCAGUAGGGAAUCUUCCGCAAUGGGCGAAAGCCUGACGGAGCAACGCCGCGUGAGUGAUGAAGGUCUUCGGAUCGUAAAACUCUGUUAUUAGGGAAGAACAAAUGUGUAAGUAACUAUGCACGUCUUGACGGUACCUAAUCAGAAAGCCACGGCUAACUACGAG
rnacentral:rRNA from 1 species